GCCUGUUUCUCCUUAUAUAAAAUGGAAAUGAUACUAUUUAUCUCUCCUAGGUUUGUUGUGAAGAAAGGAUUAAAUGGCAUGGCAAUGCUGGUGUUAAGCACAAUGCCUGACGCGUAUUAUAACGAGCUGGUUGUCAUAAGGUCCAAAACCUUAACCACCGCCAGCGUCCCUACCGGCCCUGCUUCCGGGAGUCCCUUCACUUCCCUCAGCCGAUCGCAGAUCCCUCCGCGGUCCCGUCACUUCCGGGAGGAUCCAGCUUCGGCUCCUCGAACACCCGGAUGCAAUUAUCAUGGCUGCCGUCAGUGAGGGACAGCAAUGGAGUCAAGAAUUGCCCGGAAAUUCCCGAGUUUAGGGUUUCAAGGAGGCCUGUCCAAAGGAUAAAAGAUGAGCUUGCUGGGCGGCAAGGUGCCCCAAACCGUCCUAGGAAUUGGACUUCCGCGCUUCUUGUCAACUUGCCGCCAAGUUUUUCUAGAGGAAUCGCUUCUCUUGGAAGGAUGGAGAAACUGAGGCAAAGGGGGAUUAAGUUUCUUUCUCAUGGUCCCAAAACUAGAGCCACGUUCUAUAGCCUUUCCUUCCAUAUAACUGAAGAUUUUAGUAGAAGAAGCAUGAGAAUGGAACUCAGACCUGGACUCUAGUCCUACGGCCCUGCUUUGUGAAUUAGAGCAAGUCAUUUAACCUCUCUGAAUUUCAUUUUCCUCUCCCGUGAGAAAUGAACACUUUUAACUAUUAUAUUUUAUUGAUUUUUGAAUCAUCAAGAAUCUUUAAAAAGUUGCCUUCACCAUUGUUUUCCCAUUUUCUUCUGGCCCCCUGGCACUCAUUCUAUAAAUUUUGAUGCACAUAUGGAGGCAGUGACAACCCCAUCUCUGUUGCUGCCUGGUAUGACCACACUGUAAGAUGUGGCUGAUUUCAGAGAUGUCAAAAUGUAAAAUAAUGUGCAUCUUGGAAUUGAUGACAUGUAGUAGGUGAUCUCUAAGUUCCUUUUCAUCCUUGACUGUGUGACAUCUGUGACUUUAUAACAUUUUAUGGUUGGUUUAUGUAUUUUUUAAUGUAAAUGAUUCAAAAUAAAACAUAAGCUUUUUGGUAAUAGAAAAGUAGGAA